rnacentral:rRNA from 1 species
AUGAACGCUGGCGGCGUGCCUAAUACAUGCAAGUCGAGCGAACAGACGAGGAGCUUGCUCCUCUGACGUUAGCGGCGGACGGGUGAGUAACACGUGGAUAACCUACCUAUAAGACUGGGAUAACUUCGGGAAACCGGAGCUAAUACCGGAUAAUAUAUUUAACCGCAUGGUUCAAUAGUGAAAGACGGUUUUGCUGUCACUUAUAGAUGGAUCCGCGCCGCAUUAGCUAUUUGGUAAGGUAACGGCUUACCAAGGCAACGAUGCGUAGCCGACCUGAGAGGGUGAUCGGCCACACUGGAACUGAGACACGGUCCAGACUCCUACGGGAGGCAGCAGUAGGGAAUCUUCCGCAAUGGGCGAAAGCCUGACGGAGCAACGCCGCGUGAGUGAUGAAGGUCUUCGGAUCGUAAAACUCUGUUAUUAGGGAAGAACAAAUGUGUAAGUAACUAUGCACGUCUUGACGGUACCUAAUCAGAAAGCCACGGCUAACUACGUG